UUAUUUACACAAGUGCAAUAUAAAGUAUAAAUACUGCUCAACAAUCAAAAUCGAUCAGUUUUGAUCACGUCGUACGAUCUGCAUGACUAUUCUAUUCUCCAAGAAAAACGAAAAUAUUGUCAAGAUGAAGUUCGUUAUUUUCACUAUUUUCAUUAUGAUUGCUAUGGCUAUGGCUGCUUCCCAAGCAGGAAACCAUGAGGCCUCUACGUCCGCUUGCGUACACACAAGUCUCCCUUGUAAACAAACUAGUGAUUGCUGUGAUGGUCUGAUGUGCGAACCACAUGCUAGGAUAUGUAUACCAAACAAAAAAAACUCGCAUUUUGGAUAAUAUGAAUUGAUGCUUCUUUAUAAACGACUACGUCACUACUUUUUUCAUAUAUAUGUAUAAAAAAGAAGAUAUCUUCUAUUCUGUAACUUUAAAUAAAAAUAUUUAGCUCUCAA